UACGUAGGGGGCUAGCGUUGUCCGGAUUUAUUGGGCGUAAAGAGCGUGUAGGCGGCCAGGUAGGUCUGCUGUGAAAACUCGAGGCUCAACCUCGAGACGUCGGCGGAAACCAUCUGGCUAGAGUCCGGAAGAGGAGAGUGGAAUUCCUGGUGUAGCGGUGAAAUGCGCAGAUAUCAGGAAGAACACCCGUGGCGAAGGCAGCUCGCUGGGACGUCACUGACGUUGAGACGCGAAAGCGUGGGGAGCAAACAGG
rnacentral:rRNA from 1 species